GAUGAACGCUGGCGGCGUGCCUAAUACAUGCAAGUCGAGCGAGCGGACGAGAAGCUUGCUUCUCUGAUGUUAGCGGCGGACGGGUGAGUAACACGUGGAUAACCUACCUAUAAGACUGGGAUAACUUCGGGAAACCGGAGCUAAUACCGGAUGAUAUUUUGAACCGCAUGGUUCAAAAGUGAAAGACGGUCUUGCUGUCACUUAUAGAUGGAUCCGCGCUGCAUUAGCUAGUUGGUAAGGUAACGGCUUACCAAGGCAACGAUGCAUAGCCGACCUGAGAGGGUGAUCGGCCACACUGGAACUGAGACACGGUCCAGACUCCUACGGGAGGCAGCAGUAGGGAAUCUUCCGCAAUGGGCGAAAGCCUGACGGAGCAACGCCGCGUGAGUGAUGAAGGUCUUCGGAUCGUAAAACUCUGUUAUUAGGGAAGAACAUAUGUGUAAGUAACUGUGCACAUCUUGACGGUACCUAAUCAGAAAGCCACGGCUAACUACGUG
rnacentral:rRNA from 1 species